UUUGAGACUUGAAAUGACCUAUGACCUUAAUUUCACUGUUUUUCAGUUAAUUUUAUUUAAUAGCACAUAUCAUGCUAAGCACCUUGCACACAAGACAUUGUGAGUUAGAAGCAAGGGGCUCUCUUCAAAUCCAGCAGCAAGAAGGACAGCAGACAGUUCUUCAUGCAACAACUUGGCUGACAGCAUAUCUCUGUCUGAGUGAUGAUCCAAAACCGGAUCCUCCUCCAAAGCACUCCCUGUGAAGAAUGGAUGACAGAGCAGCACUGCCACUCUGACCUGACAGUAUCUCAACCAUUCACUUCUGGAAUGUUCAAAUGCAGCAUCUCCAGCCACGGCUUCUCUGGAGAACUCUUUCUCAAGCACAAACUAGUUUCUACACCUGAUUAAAGCAAUGAUGCUUGGUUACAGGCUAGGUAAGGCAGCACAGGCUUGUUUCUGUGGCAGGACACACGUCAUUGCAGCAGCUACAGACUGAUACUACAGGGAAAGUAAGGUCCAUCUAAUUCUCGGGAUCCAUAGAAAUCAUCAUCUUAGCUACGUCUGUUGCUCUCAUGCAUGCACGAAUCUCACUCCACGUGUAGUCCAUGACACAGUUUGUCAGAUAUUAACAUCACAGAGAACUUCCUUCAUACAUAUGUAGUUACACUGAGACAUCAAAUCUCCAAACAGGUUGUGGAUAAGGCAAAGAUACAACGCUGUUCCCAUGGCUUCAGGUGCACACACAGCCAACCAGAGACUCACGCCACACAGCACAUCAGGAACUGGAUUCCCAGGGGUUUCCUCUGAACCUCUGGCACAGACUUCCUGAAGACAGGACACUUAUGAAUAUCACUACUAGCCAGCAGAUGUGCUUGGCUGACAGGAGAUGACAGUUUCUUAUAAACAUGCAUUCCUUAUCAGCACGCUUUUCCUUAGCCUCAGGUCAAGCCUUCCUUCAAAAAGUCUUUCCAAAACCUGGCAUAAAGGUUGCUUGCUUUCAGUCCUCACAACCACAAAUCUGGCAAGACAGUGUUUUUGGAGGACACUAUCAGCAGAAGAAACUUCAAGCCUGAUUGAACCCAAUUCUAACCACAGACAGCGUAGAAACAGACAGACCAUUAAAUAAUUAAUUGAAAUAAUUAA